rnacentral:lncRNA from 1 species
UAUAUUAUAUUUAGCGCAACUUUCAAAAUAUCAUAACCCUAAUGACGCGCAUCCAGAUUACAUUUGUCAUCAUGAUCUAUCUAGGAAGUUUGAAAUGCAAAACAUAAUAGUAACUAAUAUAUAAUGCUCGAAGCAUUAUGCCUAAACUAAAAUUGACCAAAACUUUAGAAGUUCACUUUGUUGCAUGUCCUGAAGAAAGAUCAUUAGACUCAUCACCCUUCAUCACCAUAUGGAUCAUAACGCUCAUCGCCAUAUAGAUCAUGACAAUCAUCGCCAUAGACAUCAUCACCCUUGCCAUAGAUCACAACUCUUCUAGUGCUGUUUCACAUUCCUAAGAAAUGAUUAGACUCGUUGUAAGGGAGAUGAAAAUGAUGUAAUGUAGUUGAAGUUUAAUUGAGCAUACAGUGACAAAACUUAGAUCUUCUAACUGACUAGUUAGCUGCUAUAUAGCAGUAUGACUACAUAUUUACCUUUUGAUCCUUCACAUGCAAUUUUCAGGGUAACAUGAAUAAGCAGGAACACAUACUCAAAAUAAUAAAGAUUGAGGACUACAGGUUUCCAUGUACACUAAAGCAAUAUUCUACCAAUAAACCACACUGAUUUCAAUUUCAUAGUAAGUUUGCAAUGGUUCAGAGCACAUCAUGCUUUUCGAAUUACUUGUAACAUUCAUAUAAUUCCAAGCACAUGGCAAUUUUCUAAUUACAUGUAUUAAUCAUAUCUCCAGAAUCCACAUGUGCUAUUGUUAGACCAAGAUGGCGAUGUGAUACAGGUAAAAAAAAUCCUAUAUGAGUUCAACAAAAUUUUACCCCUGGCACCUUGAUUAAGAUGGAUUUAAUGUGAAGAAAACAGCUAGUCCAUAGAUAGAUAUCUCAGUUAUGAGCCACAUCUAGGAAAAAUAGGGCACAAGCAGGUGCAUACAUUAUAUAUAUAGUACAGUAGUACCACCUAUGCAAUGUGGUAAGCUAAGAAAUCAGCUAAAAUAAAAAAGAGUAGGUCCCGGAGCAAGUUAUCUGUAGCAUGAUCUUCAAAGCCAUUGUACGCUGGCCAAGUGGUCAGUACGUCUCAGACACAACGAUCUCAAAUAAAAAAGGAAGGUCUCAAAACAAGGAAGUCGAUUGACAGGGUAGUGUUCUUAUCAGAAGUUUAGAACUCAAUGCUAGUGAUGAAGAUACAUGUAUUUUCGUAUAUAUGUUUGUCCAUGCACAUGUUGUCUAGAAAUAAAUUGGCGCAUAACUAGAUGGGACGUGUGGCUAAGAGAUGAUGGGCCAACCUUUUCAGUUUCGUGUUGACAAACAUCAUCUCGCCCCCUUUCAAAUAGGACUUCAUGUGCCUAGGCUCAAAAGCAUUACAUUAUUGCUCUUCAGAUAGGCCCAACUGCCACCUGCAUGAUAACAUAGUGCGUAUAAGAACAACAAGUAAGAACCCCUGCUCUACCCUGCUCUACGUCAUUGAGAAAGAACACAUAGGACAUGAUGUUAACUUGUCAAUGGAUGCAUCAGCUUUAGGAACAUGAGCUAAAUGUUACAGAAAUAUAAAAUACUGAAAUGAAAAGCAAAAGCGAGAUGAAAAAACUUACAAGUACAUCUACAAACCAAAACUGAAGGAAAAAGAACAAGGAGUGUAUGCACUACAUGAAUGGAGGACCUCUUCGAUGUAAAUUAGUUGUCUGGGCAGGGACUACUAGUUAAGUUAUACUCCCUCCGUUCCUAAAUAUAAGUUUCUUUAUACAUUUCAAAUGGAUUACAACUUAGGGAUGUAUGUAGACAUAUUUUAAAGUAUACAUUCAUUCAUUUUGCUUCGUAUGUAGUCACUUGUUGAAAUCUUUAAAAAGACUUAUAUUUAGGAACGGAGGGAGUACAAUAGUAUGAAGUAUACACCCCAAUCAUGAUUGCACAUGCUGACAUAGUGUCUCUUCUCUUAUGUACUAGUACUAGUUCGAACUGCUGCAACUAGCUACCCUUGAUCCAACAUACAUGCAUCAACACAAGCUAGCUAUCUCACCUCAUUGGCGCCAAAUGGCUACUUACUAGUUAAUCGAACUAUUUUUCAACACAUAGGCGUGACUUUAUUUUCCAAACUAAUAGACUUGCCUUUGUUUUUCAGCAAUCAUACAAACAAAAAAUAUACCUAAACAGAAAUGCAAACAACAAUGGCCUCACUAUAGAACGUGAACCUCACCACCAUAGUAGCCCGCCAUGGCACCAUCUCCUCCAUCUCCCCGGUAUUCAACUUGAAAGACACGAG